GGCCUCCUGGUGCUCACCAUAGGCUGCAUUCUUACACCCAUUGUAUAGAAAGAGGAAGGAGAACAAACCUACCCUAUAUACCCUCAGCUCAGGCUCUAUGCCUGGUCUGCAUUGUAAAUGGAGAUUUAUAG
rnacentral:snoRNA from 1 species